GAUCAUGGCUCAGGAUGAACGCUGGCGGCGUGCUUAACACAUGCAAGUCGAACGGGAAACCUUUUAUUGAAGCUUCGGCAGAUUUAGCUGGUUUCUAGUGGCGGACGGGUGAGUAAUGCGUGGGUAACCUGCCUUGUACAGGGGGAUAACAGUCAGAAAUGACUGCUAAUACCGCAUAAGCGCACAGAGCUGCAUGGCUCCGUGUGAAAAACUCCGGUGGUAUAAGAUGGACCCGCGUUGG
rnacentral:rRNA from 1 species